AUGAGCACCAUAUUUAGUAGGGUGCAGGGACCUGUAACUCACCAAUCGCUUGAUAGCCAAAUUAGAGAGGGGGGCAAAACGCAUAAAUAUGAAAGCAGUGCAUUUGCUGCUCGGAAAGGUGAUGAUGGCCCUGUUCUGUCCAAGGUCAACAACCCCAAACGAACUCUAGCCUGCCAAUCACAUGGUCAGCAGCUGAAACAAACACAAACCAUACAAUCAGGUGAACCUGGACAGGAGGAGGAGGAGCUGAUUCUGUACCCUGUAGAUGAGGCGGUCGAGGACGAAUCGGGCGCAGAGGAAGCCGAGGGAGAAGGGCAGCGCAUGGGGAGGACGAACGCCCAGCAGCUACUUGUGGCUCGGAGACUCACGGCGCACCUGAGAACCUGGACGGGAGGAGGAGACCGCUGCCGAGGAGGAGGCGUGGAGGGUGGGAUGCGCCCUUUGCGACACCGUUAA
rnacentral:rRNA from 1 species